rnacentral:rRNA from 1 species
UGGGGAAUAUUGGGCAAUGGGGGAAACCCUGACCCAGCAACGCCGCGUGAGUGAAGAAGGCCUUCGGGUUGUAAAGCUCUGUCAUUAGGGAAGAAGAAGUGACGGUACCUAAUGAGGAAGCCCCGGCUAACUACGUGCCAGCAGCCGCGGUAAUACGUAGGGGGCGAGCGUUGUCCGGAAUUACUGGGCGUAAAGGGUGCGUAGGCGGCGUGUUAAGUUGGAUGUGAAAUACCCGGGCUUAACCUGGGGGGUGCAUUCGAUACUGGCAGGCUAGAGUGCAGGAGAGGGAAGCGGAAUUCCUAGUGUAGCGGUGAAAUGCGCAGAUAUCAGGAGGAACACCGAUGGCGAAGGCAGGUCUCUGGGCCGCAACUGACGCUGAGGAGCGAAAGCAUGGGGAGCGAACAGG